UACGGGGGGGGCAAGCGUUGUUCGGAAUUACUGGGCGUAAAGGGCUCGUAGGCGGCCAACUAAGUCAGACGUGAAAUCCCUCGGCUUAACCGGGGAACUGCAUCUGAUACUGGAUGGCUUGAGUUCGGGAGAGGGAUGUGGAAUUCCAGGUGUAGCGGUGAAAUGCGUAGAUAUCAUUUGGAACGCCAAUGGUGAAAACAGCUCGCUGGGGGUUUGCUGACGCUGAGACACGAAAGCCAGGGGAGCAAACGGG
rnacentral:rRNA from 1 species